GACGAACCGUGCGAACGUUGUUCGGAAUCACUGGGCUUAAAGGGCGCGUAGGCGGCCUUCUAAGUCGGACGUGAAAUCCCUCGGCUUAACCGAGGAACUGCGUCCGAUACUGAAAGGCUUGAAUCCGGGAGAGGGAUGUGGAAUUCCAGGUGUAGCGGUGAAAUGCGUAGAUAUCUGGAGGAACACCGGUGGCGAAGGCGGCAUCCUGGACCGGCAUUGACGCUGAGGCGCGAAAGCUAGGGGAGCAAACGGG
rnacentral:rRNA from 1 species